AAACCAGCACCUCAAGUGGUGAGGAUGAUUAUUGGGCCUAAAGCAUCCGUAGCCUGUUCUGUAAGUUUCCGGUUAAAUCCAUUAGCUCAACUAAUGGGCCGCCGAAAAUACUGCAAAACUAGGGAGUGGGAGAGGUAGACGGUACUCGGUAGGAAGGGGUAAAAUCCUUUGAUCUAUUGAGGACCACCUGUGGCGAAGGCGGUCUACCAGAACACGGUCGACGGUGAGGGAUGAAAGCUGGGGGAGCAAACCGGAUUAGAAACCCCGGUAGUCC
rnacentral:rRNA from 1 species